rnacentral:rRNA from 1 species
UACGGGGGGGGCAAGCGUUAUUCGGAAUUAUUGGGCGUAAAGGGCGCGUAGGCGGUUGAGUAAGUCAGAUGUGAAAGCCCUUGGCUUAACCAAGGAAGGGCAUUUGAUACUAUUUGACUUGAGUACGGGAGAGGGAAGUGGAAUUCCUGGUGUAGAGGUGAAAUUCGUAGAUAUCAGGAGGAACACCGGUGGCGAAAGCGACUUCCUGGACCAAUACUGACGCUGAGGCGCGAAGGCGUGGGGAGCAAACAGG